rnacentral:rRNA from 1 species
AGAGACAGCAGUAGCCGCGGUAAUACGUAGGUGGCAAGCGUUGUCCGGAAUUAUUGGGCGUAAAGGGCUCGCAGGCGGUUUCUUAAGUCUGAUGUGAAAGCCCCCGGCUCAACCGGGGAGGGUCAUUGGAAACUGGGAAACUUGAGUGCAGAAGAGGAGAGUGGAAUUCCACGUGUAGCGGUGAAAUGCGUAGAGAUGUGGAGGAACACCAGUGGCGAAGGCGACUCUCUGGUCUGUAACUGACGCUGAGGAGCGAAAGCGUGGGGAGCGAACAGGAUUAGAUACCCCUGUAGUCCCUGUCUCUUAUAC